rnacentral:rRNA from 1 species
GACGUAGGAUGCAAGCGUUGUCCGGAAUUAUUGGGCGUAAAGAGUUCGUAGGCGGUUACUUAAGUCUGGUGUUAAAGACGGGAGCUCAACUCCCGCAUGGCAUCGGAAACUGGGUGGCUAGAGUACGGUAGAGGUCACGGGAAUUCCAGGUGUAGCGGUGAAAUGCGUAGAUAUCUGGAGGAACACCGGUGGCGAAAGCGCGUGACUGGGCCGUAACUGACGCUGAGGAACGAAAGCCAGGGGAGCAAAAGGG